UAUGAACCGUUAUAACCGGCGAUUUCCGAAUGGGGAAACCCAGUGUGACUCGUCACACUAUCAUUAACUGAAUCCAUAGGUUAAUGAGGCGAACCGGGGGAACUGAAACAUCUAAGUACCCCGAGGAAAAGAAAUCAACCGAGAUUCCCCCAGUAGCGGCGAGCGAACGGGGAGGAGCCCAGAGCCUGAAUCAGCAUGUGUGUUAGUGGAAGCGUCUGGAAAGGCGCGCGAUACAGGGUGACAGCCCCGUACACAAAAGCGCAUGUGCUGUGAGCUCGAUGAGUAGGGCGGGACACGUGGUAUCCUGUCUGAAUAUGGGGGGACCAUCCUCCAAGGCUAAAUACUCCUGACUGACCGAUAGUGAACCAGUACCGUGAGGGAAAGGCGAAAAGAACCCCGGCGAGGGGAGUGAAAAAGAACCUGAAACCGUGUACGUACAAGCAGUGGGAGCCCCACCACUAAGCCAGUGGUGAACUCCACAUACGCAUCCUUUGCUGAGGAUACGGUUAACGGAGCGAAAGCGA
rnacentral:rRNA from 1 species